UUUCACUAGAAUUGCCUGAAGGACCAUGGCUGACAGCUUGUUUACAGAAGCAUGGGCUUCUUGCCAGUGACUACACCUCAAAGAAACUAUCACGCUAUCCUUCAGCAACUGUUAACAUCAAUGGCCUCUAGAUCCUUGGAGAUGGGUGGGGUCCCUCCUCUCCCUCCCUGUGCUGAUGGCUGAAUCUUAUGUUGUGAGUUCAUGAGUGACACAGCCAACACCAUGUUCAGAAACCAGCCUUCCAUCACUCUUCAGGUGGUGACCCUCCUGUUCCUACAUUCUUUCUACCCUCUCUUCCCGGUGACCUUUUUAGAUGGAACCAUAUAAGUGUCCCACUUAACGGCUGAACAACUUUAGCCAGCUAUGAGUCUACAAUUACUGCUGCCUACUGCAUGAAGAAGCUCCUCUGACUGAAACUGGCCUUGGCACUAGUCUAUGGGUGAGACAUGAUUAUUAGAAGGCAAAUUGGUGGGAAUGCCGCAUCCAUUUAGCAAAGCAAUGACUGUAACUUUCCACUAGGGCCUGUGACCUUUCCAGCCAUUGGUUUGGAAGGGUUUGCAACCCCCGACAUGACUUCUCUCCUGUAGAACGGGCCUCAGUUUCAAUCAGAAAGUAGUUGGUUUCCCCCAUAUCAGAUUUGAUUCUGUUUUAUCAUUGAGCACAUCUGAAUUUCUAUCUUUCUUAGUCUGAAAAUUAAAGUGUUCUUUUGCAUGUUCCUUUCACCACUGCCCCUUCUUGUGGGAAAACCAGGCCUGGGUCUAUCCAUUCAUCGGCGCACUGCUGCCUACUAGUGGCUGGUAGGUGAAUUUAACUCACGGCUGAUUUUAACCUCGGCCUCUCGUUAAGAGAAUAAAUUGCUUUGAAGGGGUCAGGUCCA
rnacentral:lncRNA from 1 species